rnacentral:misc_RNA from 1 species
AGCAGCCGCGGUAAUUCCAGCUCCAAUAGCGUAUAUUAAAGUUGCUGCAGUUAAAAAGCUCGUAGUUGAAUUUCGGGACCAUCAUGUCGGUCGUGCCUCGGUACGUACUGGCAUUGUUGGUUUCUCCCUUCUGACGAACCAUGAUGUCAUUUAUUUGGUGUCGUGGGAAAUCAGGACUGUUACUUUGAAAAAAUUAGAGUGUUUAAAGCAGGCUCACGCUUGAAUACAUUAGCAUGGAAUAAUGAAAUAGGACGUUUGAUUCUAUUUUGUUGGUUUCUAGGAUCGACGUAAUGAUUAAUAGGGAUAGUUGGGGGCAUUAGUAUUCAAUUGUCAGAGGUGAAAUUCUUGGAUUUAUUGAAGACUAACUACUGCGAAAGCAUUUGCCAAGGAUGUUUUCAUUAAUCAAGAACGAAAGUUAGGAGAUCGAAGACGAUCAGAUACCGUCGUAGUCUUAACCAUAAACUAUGCCGACUAGGGAUCGGAUGAUGUUAAUUUUUUAAUGACUCAUUCGGCGCCUUAC